AGAGUUUGAUCAUGGCUCAGAACGAACGCUGGCGGCAGGCUUAACACAUGCAAGUCGAGCGCGUGGCAACACGAGCGGCAGACGGGUGAGUAACGCGUGGGAAUCUACCGGACCCUACGGAAUAACGCAUGGAAACGUGUGCUAAUACCGUAUACGCCCUACGGGGGAAAGAUUUAUCGGGGUUUGAUGAGCCCGCGUUGGAUUAGCUAGUUGGUGGGGUAAAGGCCUACCAAGGCGACGAUCCAUAGCUGGUCUGAGAGGAUGAUCAGCCACAUUGGGACUGAGACACGGCCCAAACUCCUACGGGAGGCAGCAGUGGGGAGUAUUGGACAAUGGGCGCAAGCCUGAUCCAGCCAUGCCGCGUGAGUGAUGAAGGCCCUAGGGUUGUAAAGCUCUUUCACCGGAGAAGAUAAUGACGGUAUCCGGAGAAGAAGCCCCGGCUAACUUCGUGCCAGCAGCCGCGGUAAUACGAAGGGGGCUAGCGUUGUUCGGAAUUACUGGGCGUAAAGCGCACGUAGGCGGACAUUUAAGUCAGGGGUGAAAUCCCGGAGCUCAACUCCGGAACUGCCUUUGAUACUGGGUGUCUUGAGUGUGGAAGAGGUGAGUGGAAUUCCGAGUGUAGAGGUGAAAUUCGUAGAUAUUCGGAGGAACACCAGUGGCGAAGGCGGCUCACUGGUCCAUUACUGACGCUGAGGUGCGAAAGCGUGGGGAGCAAACAGGAUUAGAUACCCUAGUAGUCC
rnacentral:rRNA from 1 species